rnacentral:rRNA from 1 species
UACGUAGGUGGCAAGCGUUGUCCGGAAUUAUUGGGCGUAAAGCGCGCGCAGGCGGCCUUUUAAGUCUGAUGUGAAAGCCCACGGCUCAACCGUGGAAGGUCAUUGGAAACUGAAAGGCUUGAGUACAGAAGAGGAAAGCGGAAUUCCACGUGUAGCGGUGAAAUGCGUAGAGAUGUGGAGGAACACCAGUGGCGAAGGCGGCUUUCUGGUCUGUAACUGACGCUGAGGCGCGAAAAGCGUGGGGAGCAAACAGG